UGUAUUUGUUUUGACGGAAAAAAAAUCAUAGAAUUAGCAAAAUUUAUAAUGUGAUUUCCAAGUUUAAGAAAAUGUAGCCAGGAUUUGAGUAGUGUUUUAAAUUUUCACUACAUUUGAAUGAUUUACUACUGCUGUAUUGUAGGUUUAGCUCCAAUAUCUGGUUGCAGGAAUUAGCCUUUUGGGAUGCUUGUUGAUGUCGUGAUACUUAUUUACUUUUGCUUGAAAUUUGGCUUUGAAUUCGCCCAAUGGAUAUGCUCUUUCUUUUUCUACUUUUUUUUGAGAUAAUGCUUUUGCAUAAGGACACAUUGAUUAAAAAAGGAAACGCACAGCUAAACCAUUUUUAUGCAUUCAUUGCCAAGAAUCAUCCAAUCUUAUAAGAGUUAGUGAGAGUUAACAACUACAAUGCCUUCUGUUUAUGGUUAUUUAAUGGUGAGCUGAUCUGAGUAAUCAUUUGAGAAAUGCAGGUUCGGGGUUGGAUUGUUCACAAUAUUUGCUGGAUCAUGAAAUUUUUGACGAGGUAUGUUUGAUUCCUUUGGCUAUUGUUUGAAUCUUUUGCUGGAUUGGAAGAUGUAGGUUUGGAUCUGUGGAAAACAAAUUUUUUUUUUUUCUUUGUUUUCUUUUUCUUUUUAAAAUUUUCUUGGAACCCCUGGUUUGAUAGAAAAUAAAAACACAAUUUUCGGUAGAAAAGAACUGAUGAAAGAAAAGAAGUGUGAUGUUUCUUCUGGAUGACCUGCUCUUGUUAAACGCGUAGAUUGGUGUGGGUUUUCAUGAGCUUGGAGUGGGUUUCAGUUCGUCUUCCAGAGUGUGAUACCUGAUAAAGUUCUAUUGCAUUGCCAGGAAAUGUCAGGUUGCCUGACAUUUAUGUGUGUUAAUGUAGAUUGUCAAUUUGAUGGGCUACCACAUGGAUUGUGGAUGGCCAGAGCUCAGAAAGCAAGUUGAUUGCCUGUCAUGGUCAUCCUUUUAGUGGCCUGAAAAAUGAGAGCACUUGUGUAGGGCAACCGAGACUAUCAGCUAGGUGGCUACCACAUGGAUCAUGGAUGGCUGGACCUCAGAAUGUAACUCGAUCAGACUCAUAGUCAUCUGAUUAGUUGCCUAAAAGGGAGAUGGUUAGCUCAAAUAAUGAGCAGCAGUCUCCAUUCAGCUGCAAAACUCGCGACAAUUGGAUGGUCAGAGAUGUUCAGUCGCUGUAAAAAUUCAGACGGAGAGUAUGUCGAGUUUUCUCAGUCGUCGCUUUUGUCGAUCCUGGAGAGUCACCGGUUGAUUCAGAAACAUCUGGCUGUAAUUCCACUCUGUCGGUCUGUUUUUCGCUGUUUUUACAAUUCACGAAGCGGUUGUUGAGGUCGAGCUCGCGUCUGGAAUUUGGAGCGUUUGAUGGAAUUGAAGACGAAUACUCUGACGAAUUUAUGGUCAGAUCUUCAAUUUCCAUAAAAUUUCUUAAUUUUUUUAGUUGUUUUGUAUUUAUAUUGUCUAAAUUGAUAUUGUAAUUUUUAGCUUUUGAGGUUCGAAAAUGAAGAGCAUGAAGAGUGCUACAAAAAGCUCAGGAACAGGGAGAGGAGACACGAGUAUCGGCACGACUAUGCCGAGGAAUACGGCCCGACAACAGAGUACGGAGAUGUCGUGCUCCAGCAGCGGCUGCUAAUGGUGAACUGGAUAACCGAGGUAGCAAUGGCCUAGAAAAGAUGAAUUCAUAAUCUUUCUUGUACCGGAAGGGCAGGGACUGGCACUACUGCAGAUAUGAUCAGGCAGUUUAGAAAAUCGCUACGUUAGGAAGGAAGAUUUGCUAAUAUUUUCUCUUCAACGUCAUUUUAGCAUGACUAAACAAUUGUCUUGGAAGAUUUGUUAAUACUUCGAACACUGAUUGUAAGUUUGGCACCUUUUUUGUUUAAUUCUAUUAAGAAUUUAUAUC